rnacentral:lncRNA from 1 species
UCCAAUAUAAGAAUGACACGUGUAAACUAUGUCAGAAGAUAACAUUAACCCACUUGCUUCUCCUUAAUAGUGCUUAAGACUCCCAUAGUUUCCAUGCAUACCAGUUUUAUCAGUCUUGUGAUCCGUUGUCCAUUUUGAAACAGGAAUAAACGAGCGUGACAAAAAAGUAAAAAAUAAAAAUAAAGAAGAAGUUAAAUUUCAGUUGACCCCUCAAAAAAAAAAAAGGAAAACAAA